AAGUCGUAACAAGGUCUCCGUUGGUGAACCAGCGGAGGGAUCAUUACAGAGUUGCAAAACUCCCAAACCAUUGUGAACGUUACCUAAACCGUUGCUUCGGCGGGCGGCCCGGGUCCUUCCCGGCGCCCCUCGGCCCUCGCGGGCGCCCGCCGGAGGAAAACCAAACUAUUGCAUUGUAUGGCCUCUCUGAGUCUUCUGUACUGAAUAAGUCAAAACUUUCAACAACGGAUCUCUUGGUUCUGGCAUCGAUGAAGAACGCAGCGAAAUGCGAUAAGUAAUGUGAAUUGCAGAAUUCAGUGAAUCAUCGAAUCUUUGAACGCACAUUGCGCCCGCCAGCAUUCUGGCGGGCAUGCCUGUCCGAGCGUCAUUUCAACCCUCAGGCCCCCCUUUCCGGGGGCCUGGCGUUGGGGAUCGGCCCUGCAGCCCAGGGCCGGCCCCGAAAUACAGUGGCGGUCACGCCGCGGCUUCCUCUGCGUAGUAGUAACAUCCUCGCAUAGGGACGCGGCGCGGCCACGCCGUAAAGCGGGCGCGAGCCCAGCACACUUCUCAAGGUUGACCUCGGAUCAGGUAGGAAUACCCGCUGAACUUAA
rnacentral:rRNA from 1 species